rnacentral:rRNA from 1 species
UUCUCUUGAGAGCGGCGGACGGGUGAGUAAUGCCUAGGAAUCUGCCUAGUGGUGGGGGAUAACGUUCGGAAACGGACGCUAAUACCGCAUACGUCCUACGGGAGAAAGCGGGGGACCUUCGGGCCUCGCGCCAUUAGAUGAGCCUAGGUCGGAUUAGCUAGUUGGUGAGGUAACGGCUCACCAAGGCGACGAUCCGUAACUGGUCUGAGAGGAUGAUCAGUCACACUGGAACUGAGACACGGUCCAGACUCCUACGGGAGGCAGCAGUGGGGAAUAUUGGACAAUGGGCGAAAGCCUGAUCCAGCCAUGCCGCGUGUGUGAAGAAGGUCUUCGGAUUGUAAAGCACUUUAAGUUGGGAGGAAGGGUAGUAACUUAAUACGUUGCUACUUUGACGUUACCGACAGAAUAAGCACCGGCUAACUUCGUGCCAGCAGCCGCGGUAAUACGAAG